AUAGUGUGAUUGCUAGAACGACAGCAAGUAGAUUGUAGUUUGCGCGUGAAUCAUGGGAAAGAGAGCGAAACGAGGACAAACUGGCGGAUAAUCAUCGCCAAAGGACCGAAAUAGAAACGGUGAAGCAGCGAGUGUGCCGUGAGGCACGUGGACCCAUUACGGUCUCGGCCGGAGCGUUGGCGCUUGGGCUUGUUUGUCGAGCGUUCCGCGCGUGAAUCGGUAACGCACGUUUCUGCCUUUACCUCUAUUUAUUUUUCUGCCUAUACCUCGGUCUCUGCCUCGACCUCGCAUGCGGAGAUUAAUCUCAUCCGGCACAUGAAGCACGUACAAGCGUGACGGUUGCGCAAUCGUGAAUACGUGCGGUGCGAAAAUUGGUCGCUCGCAUGCGGUCGAGACUAGGAAGGAGUCGGACCGCUCUUGCUGCUUGCAAUUGGAGGAAUGAUUAUUCCUGACUGGUGUUGAAUCAGGGGCGCGCGCGCGAUUAUCUCACGCCCGCUUCUAUCUCGAUUUAUCAUCAGUGUCGGUCUGAUACUGGUGGAUACUGGUAACCAGCUCUAGCGUGGACGACGAGUGAAUUAUCAACGCACCUUGCACUGUCAAUUAUGAGCAACGAAUUGAAGACGAUUGAGUUGCGCGAAUUGCAGCCAAUACUUAGCCGCACGUUUGGCGAUCGGUUGAUCGUGAUGCGUUACACAACUGACAACCUGUUGCCGCCCGGCGAGAAUUAUGGCAGUACCAUCUUGAAGGUUCACGCGGUAAUUAAGCGUGACGAUGACGCGGAAGAGGAGGAUCUUCAUCUCGUGGCGAAAAUGCCUCCGCCGACGGAGUACCAACGGCGAAUCUUCGACAGUCCGUAUACCUUCAAAAAGGAGAUCUUUAUGUAUGAGCACAUCUUGCCGCAUUAUCAAGAACUGGAGAGAGAAGCCGGAUUAAAAGAAGACGAGCUAUUCGACGUACUGCCCAAAUAUUAUCAAUCCCGAUUCUCUUUGAGCCCAGACGUGGAAUUCGAUGACGAUGCCGUUAUCUUAAUGGAGAAUUUAAAGGCGCGUGGAUACUAUACUGGUAACAGGGCGAAAGGGUAUGACCUCGAGCACUCGAGAGUCGCGAUACGAGCGAUGGCCAGAUUUCACGCGCUCGGAAUGACUAGUAAAUAUAAGCGUGCCGACUAUUUCGAGAUACUGAAACAACGUAGCAAGUGUAUAGAUUUCAAGACCGACGAAUUUGAGCAAGUACAAAAAGACAUGGUAACUAAGAUGGCAGAGGAUCCGCAGAUAGCCGUUCACAUCGAUCGCUGCAAAUCAGCCUUGAGCGACAUGAUGGACACUCUUUGGACCGCCGUGCCCGAGGAGCCCUGGUCCACUAUUAUCCAUUCGGACUUCUGGGUGAACAACAUUAUGUUCCACUGCGAUGAGAGCGGUCACGUGGAUGACGUGAAAUUCGUGGACUUUCAGAACUACCUGUUCUUCAGUCCGUUGCGCGAGAUGAUAUUCUUCGUGCUUUCCAGCACGAACGACGAUGUGCAUGAUGAGAAUAUCGAGGAACUAAUAGAUCUUUAUCACGAGACAUUCGUCGUUGUGCUGAAACGAAUGGGCUGUGAUACAGAGCCGUUCACAAGGGAGAAGUUCGACGCCAAGCUGGCAAAGGAUGCCAAGUACGAGUUUCUACACGUGUGCUUUAUGCUCAAGGUAGUCACUCUGGACGUGCAGGAGACAGAGUUUAACUAUGAUAAAAUAGAGAGCGUCAUGUUAUCGUAUCAGGGUAAUCAAGCGUUUAUUCAACGGUUGCGCAGAGUUGUGCUAUAUCUCAUUAAACGAAAUUGGAUCUAGGAAUAAAAUAAAAUGGGAAGAAAGCAUGGCGCUUUCUUAAUAUGCCUAUGUACGAGGGUCGUUUGAUAAGUCCUUAAAAAAUACACACACACACACACACACACACGUCAACUGUGUAACAGUCAAUGUGAUAUUAGUGCGACCCUCUCAUAUAUUUUCUAAGGACUCAUCAAACGAUCCUCGUAUAAAUAUAUAAUUAUAUAUCAUUUAUUAUUGCGCACGUACAGUAACGCAAUGUAAUUCAAACCAUUACUGUAUAUACGCGUUGUUUUAUUCUAUUUGCCUUUGUAUUUUAUAAGUAUAAUUUCUAAGAAUAAAGAAAUAUAAUUUUAUAAAAAGAAAGAAAUAUAUAAGAAUGUUAUAAGAACGUGAUAAAUUAUGGACAAACAAGGUGGAUGUAACAAGUUUAACAAAUAUAAAGUAUAUUUUUUACCA
rnacentral:misc_RNA from 1 species